AACGAACGCUGGCGGCAUGCCUAACACAUGCAAGUCGAACGAGACCUUCGGGUCUAGUGGCGCACGGGUGCGUAACGCGUGGGAACCUGCCCUUAGGUUCGGAAUAACUCCCCGAAAGGGGUGCUAAUACCGGAUAAUGUCUUCGGACCAAAGAUUUAUUGACUUUGGAUGGGCCCGCGUUGGAUUAGCUAGUUGGUAGGGUAAAAGCCUACCAAGGCGACGAUUCAUAGCUGGUCUGAGAGGAAGAUCAGCAACACUGGGACUGAGACACGGCCGAGACUCCUACGGGAGGCAGCAGUGGGGAAUAUUGGAAAAUGGGCGAAAGCCUGAUCGAGCAAUGCCGCGUGAGUGAUGAAGGCCUUAGGGUUGUAAAGCUCUUUUAACCGGGAUGAUAAUGACAGUACCGGGAGAAUAAGCCCCGGCUAACUCCGUG
rnacentral:rRNA from 1 species